AGACGCCAGCGUGGGCGGGAUCAUGCCCAGGUCUGGGGUCAAGGUCCUGCCCCGGCGCCAGCACUCAGCCAUGGGAUCCACGCAGAAGAGUGCUCGCAGGCCCAGGGGACGUGCCUCGGCCACCGCCAGGGACUCCACGCUGCUUCUCCUCCUUGUAUGUUGGCUUCUGCAGACCUGUGAGCCGAAAUCACCGAACGCCUCCAAGCCAAACAUCCUGCUGAUCUUGGCAGAUGAUCUGGGCAUCGGGGAUGUUGGUUGCUAUGGGAACCGUACACUGAGGUAGAGUGCGGUUUGGGUGGUGGGGUGGUGCUGUGUGUGUGCAGUUUAGGGGAAUAAUCCACUUAAAAUCGACCAGGGCAAAUGAAAUUUCUUAGUGCUCCAGAACUCAGCACCACACAUGAUUCUUUUCCAAGAGUAAAAACAGGGUCUUAGCCCUCUCAAACAACUUGAGGCCGGGCUGAGUUUGUGAGGGUUUUCCUGGGGCUGCUGUAUUAAAUAACCAAAGACAAAGAGACUUAAAAGUAAUCCAGGAACCACCCCCCCACCCCAGCCCUGGAGGGCAGAAGCUGGACCAGGGUCCCAGCCUGAGCUCCCUCCACAGCCUCCAGGGGGCUCCUCCUGCCUGUCCAGCUCCUGGGCUCCAGGUGGCCCUGGGCGGGUGGCCCCUCACUGCAGUCUCUGCCUCCGUCUCCACGGGGCUCCUCCUCUGUGUCUGUGUCCCCUCCUCUGUCUCUCGUGAGGACAUGGCCAUGGCAUGAGGGCCACCUGACCCAGGAGGAGCCCAUCUCAGACCCUUCACUAACGACCUCUGCAGAGACCCUGUUUCCAUACAAGGUCCCACUCACAGGUUCUGGGGUCAAGGUGUGGACAGGACCCGCCUCUUACAAUAGUGUCCAGCUCCCUCCACAGGCUCCAGGGAGCCUCCUCCUGCCUCUCCAGCUCCUGGGCUCCAGGUGGCCCUUGGCAGAACAAUAUGGUGACCCCUCAAAAGCUUAAGACUGAAUCACACUAUGACCCAGCAAUGCCACCGCUGGGUUCAGACCCAAAGGAUUUGAAAGCAGUGAGUCCAAAACAUACUCACAUAUUCUGUGUUCACAGAAACCCUGAUCCCCAGUAUGACUGGAGACUAGGGCAAAAAUCAUGUCUUACUGGGGUGUGGGGGAGCCAGGGCCAAACUGGGGGCCAAAGAGAAAUUCUGAAGGGGGUCUUUGGAGGCCAGAGGAUCUUAGAGAGUGGGGUAUUUUCUUAUUUUGGCUAAACUGUAUAGAGGAUUACACACAGGCUUGUAAAAUUGUAAUCCGUUCUGAGCCCUUUAUUCUCAGGGUUAGCAAAUCACUAGAAUUUUUCCCCAAAUCCAUCAGCAUGCAUCUUAUGUAUCCAUCCAUGAGCGAGCCAUCCCUCCACCCACCCAUCUGUCCAUGUUUUCAUCCAGGCAUCAUCCAUUUGUCUAUCUGCCUGUCCACCCAUGGUGCAUGGAUAGAUGGAUGGAUGGGUGGAUGGUAGGAUGGGUGGAUGGAUGGAUGGGUGGGUGGAUAGAUGGUUGCCUGGAGAGAUGGAUGGAUACAUGGGUGGAUUGAUGGGUGGGUGGGUGGAUGGAUGGAUGCAUGGAUGUGUGGAUGGAUGCAUGGAUGGAUGGAUGGAUAGUUGGUUGCCUGGAUGGAUGGAUGGGUGGAUGGGUAAAUGGAUGAACGGAUGGAUGGAUGGAUGUUGGGUGUGUGUGUGGGUGGAUGGAAGGAUGGAUGGAUGCUCCCAUCGGAUAGACGGAUAGAUGGAUGGAUAGAUGGAUGCAUGGAUGGAUGGAUGGGUGGAUGGGCAGAUGGCUGGAUGAGUGAAUGGAUGAAUAGAUAAAUGGAUGGAUGGAUGGAUGGGUGGAUGGUUGAAUGGUGGAUGAAUGGGUGGGUGGGUGAGUGGAUGGAUGGAUGGAUGGAUGGAUGGGUAGAUGGUUGAAUGGUGGAUGAAUGGGUGGGUGGGUGAGUGGAUGGAUGGAUGGAUGGAUGGGCAGAUGGAUGGUUGGCUGGAUGGGUGGCUGGCUGGCUGGAUGAAUUGGAGGACUGACAGAUUCUCAUGCUAAGGCUGGGUUCUUUAGCCUUGGUCCUACUGGUACACUGGCCCAGAUCACUCUCUGUGAUGGGCCCAUCCUGUUCAUUGUAGGAUGUUGAACAACAUUUCUGGUCUCCACCUGCUGCUCACCAAUAGCACCACAUCCCAAAGUGGGACACCCCCAGUGUCUCUGUACUUUGCCAGUUGUCCUCAGGGGAACAUAACUGUCCUUAUGGGGGGCCACUAGGUGGUCAGCUUUGGGUGCAUGAAGAACAAGGUCUGACCUUCUAUAGCUUUUCUCCCACCAGAUGCAGCCUCCUCCAAGGUAGAAGGGAAGAGACUAGCACCUGUCAUCUGCCAGUCCAUGGGGAAAUUCCUUGAGCUCUAGGGGCUGGGUCACUGCCUUUGGGUUUCAUAUCUAUAGUGAGAUUCUCAAUCAAUUUUUGCACAUCUGACUGCAAAAGCUCUUAGGUGAAGUGUUUCAUCUUCUCUUUGAAUUUUGCACCUGAGAAAGUGGUAGGACACUCAGGGUGCACCCUUUGUGAAUGCUGAUGGGAUAUUCAAAGCAUACGAGCCCCCUGGGUUGCAUAACCCCCCUCAAAAAAAAAAAUAAGAAAAAGCCAAAAACUUUGCCUUUGUGUGUGACAUCGGUCAUCUCUUCCUUCAAACGUAAUUUUGUUGGGAUCCAUAUUCCUAAGAAGACCUGUGAUGUAACCACAGAGUUAUUGUGACAAGAAGUCCCCAUAACCCACUCUAAGUGGAGAAUGUCACCAAGCAGGUGUGCAUUUCACACCCACAACCCACCCAAGGUCCUGGCUGAGCCCAGACUGCCUCCAGUGGGCUCAGAACCCACCUCAUUCCUGGCUGGACAAAAGCUUCUCACGCAGCCUGUGUUUAUAAUCACUGUUCAACAUCUGUCAUUCAUCACUCCCCGAAAGUGAAAUCAGCAAGGUGUCUGUGUGCCAGCCCCCCCCCCAAGCCAAAGUCAAAAUUCAAAAUCUGGGGGCCCUUUGUUGCUUUGGCAACAGCUGAGGUGGGGGAGGGCUGUAGGAGGAACCGCCCAGGGUGAGCCUCAUCUGUCCUUUGCGAACUCAGAGAACUGGGCGCACUAAGACAGGUGCCAUGCCUCCCCGGGAAGUUCCAUGCUGGCCUCUUCUGGAGCACAGUGUGUUCCUGUCCCUUUCCCAAGUGACAUUCAUCCUAGGACCUAGGACCAUUCACAGAUGACACAAACACAGUUCUUUCUGGGGGUAUGUUCCAGGGAGCAUAAUACAUCCAGGGUGCCCUGCAGAGUCUUCCCUAGGGUGGGCACAGGACAGGUCAAUGGAGGUCAUUGACCUGUCCUUAAAUCACACUAUCACAGCAGAUUAAAACCCAGGUUCUCUGCUGGAGGCCCUCUGUCCUCCCUGCAGGGUACCCAGGGUAGGGGCAGAGUGUACCAGGGUUCCAGGGAACAGGAGGAGAUGCCCACCCUGCAGCACACACAGGUUGACCCUGGGCCCAGUGUACCAAGACUCCACAGCAGGGGGAGAUGCCAAACCUGCAGUGUACACCAUGGUGACCCUGUGCAGAGAGGGGUCUGAUGGGAGCCCAUGAGGCUGAGAGGGAGUAUGUUCCCUGGUGGCCACCAAGGCCAUCAUGAAAGAGGAACAUGAGUGUGGAGAACUGAGGGGACUCUGAGCUCAGGCAGUGCAGGGAAGAAGGCAACAGUGAAGAGAAGAUCCAGGCACAAAUGGGUGGUCAUGGCCCAGGAAGUUCAUCAGACCCAGGAGUAAAUGGGCAUCCAUGCAAGUGCCUCCUGCUCCACAGUCAUUAAUAGACCCCAGGACCAGCAGUGUCCAGGCCUCUUGGGCACAAUGACCCCAGCAGAGCACAGCAAGAACACCCAGAAGUUCAUACCAAUAUGCAGGAUCCCCUGCACCACAGGGCAAGCACUGGCAAGCAAGACUCCUGGAAAUUUAUUGGCUGUAGUGUCAAGAAGGGUAUUGUCUUCAUGAAGGGUGACCACCUCCCGGUGCUGCACCCACUGUGGAUUUUGUCUGGGUCAUGACUGCUGGGAAAGGAAGCUCUAAAGUGUCUAGGAACCUUGAAACCAGUGCUCCUGAAUCCCAUCAGAGACCCUGCUGUUAAUGUUAAAAGAAAAAUUCCUGGGUACCAUGUGAAAUCUUUUGCCAAUGGAGGCUCUAUUAGUGACGUGGGGCAGAUGAGGCUGGACACCUGAGGAAGAUUCAGGGAGCUGACUUAUUAGCGGCAGGGUUCAGAGGGGUAUCACCUAAAAUUUUCUGGACCUUGAUGUUGGAAUUUCAUUAUCUUUACACCCAGUGGGAGGGGGUGGAGGUUUAUUUUAUUUUAUUUUUGUAGGAGUCUACAUAAAUUUUUUUUUUGGUUGUUCAAAGAAAGUGAAUUUUUAGUCAUUUUUGAGAUUAUUCGGAGAUCUUCCAAGCUUUACCAAAAACAAAGUAACAUCAUCACAUCUUCAUUCUAACAUAUAUUGAUAUCUUUGCAAAACCUUUUCCUGAUAUUUGUUUUAAAGAAUAUUAUGGUGAGGAUCUCUGGAGAAGUUUAUUUAAGAUUCUUAGGUGCAGAAGGGGGCACCAAUACAUUAGGACAUCCGACUGGGUCCCUCCUUACCUAGUUUUGAUCACAUGCUGUGUAUGAAGAAAAGCAUCAGACGAUGUUCCCAGGGCUACUGAGGUACCCUGAACACAGAGACAAGACCAGCCUGGGUUUUCUGGCAUAUUUCACCUAAGUAUUAGUCAUGGGGAGAAAAUCUAAGGUGGAUCUCAGUGGUUGAAAUUCCCUGCUGUACAAGAUGUUUAAGAAAGGGACCAGGUGAAAACAUGGGAAAAACCUGCAGAGCUGCAUCUACCAAAGUGGUCCUCAGUGGGGUCCACGCAGGGACCACGCACACAGCAGCAGCAAACUCACCACCUGAGCUAGAGGAGUCCUCAGUGCUAAAGCACCUGUCUAGCAGGCACAAGGCAAGAUUGGGUCCCUGGCACCAGGGAAAGAAAAGAAACAGAAAGCCACUCAAUUAAUUAAGUACAGGGCAAAGUAUAUUUUGAGAAGAUGCCUCUCCAAAGAAUACAUAAAAAUUACAACUUUUAUAAUGCCCUUUAAUGUGCCUACAUACAACACAACACAUGAGACUUAGAAGAAACACGGGUGACAGAGUGGUGGUCCCAGAGUCAUCAACAGGACAAUAAGGCACCAAGGAAAAGGAAGAGGCCAGUCACAGAGCACAAAAGGACACAUCUCUAUGGUCCUAGCUGCUAGGAGGCUGGGGCAGGGUGACCACAUGUUUGAGGCCAGCGUCACCCCAUCUCAAAAAGUAACAAUAAAAGGGCUAGGGGGAAGCUCAGUGGUGGAGCACUCCUGGGUGAAAUCUGAAGGAAAGAAGGGAGCAAAGGAGGAAAAAAGAGAUAUUUAGCCAAUCUGCACAGAAUGCUGGAGUGCACAGGCCUCAACCCACAUACACAAUGUGUAACCAAACUUUAGAAACAAACAAAAGAAUAAAUUGAGAAGUCAUGAAGUAAUAAUCAAUUUUUGAGAAAAAGCAGUGGGCAGCAUCGUUGUGAGAAAAGUCAAAGAAAUCAAUAGUUGCAUGACACAGUGAGGAUGAAAGAACUGCACUAGUGAGGGCAUGUAGAGAAAAGGAUGACUUGAUCCUGUUCUUGUCCUGCCCUCGCGGGGUCCAGGGGGUCCUGAAGGAUGAGUGGUGUCGGCGAAAAGAUGAGACAGGAGUCGUUCCGUUGGAGAAAUCUCCAGAGAGAGAGAGCUAAUGCAGCUUUCUCGGGUCAUCUUUUAUUGCAAAUUUUCUCAUCAUUAUAGAUUCAGAUACGCCAUUGAUUAUACAAUCUAAAACUUUUGCCAAGACAUGACAUUUCCUUAACCAUGAUUAGGGAUACAAAAAAUGUAACAUUAAUUUCCAUUUUUCCAGGAUAUGACCUUUAGUUAUUUAAUUAUUAAAAGUACAGAAUCAUUAAUAAAAUGCAUCACUAAUUUACAUUUUUCAGAUUUUCCCAAGAUUUACUAUUUUCUUAUUGACUAAUGCCAAACUACGAAACCAGAUUCUAAGUCUCUGAACCUAUCAUUAACCUUUAAAUUUAAAGUACACCUUUACUUUAUUUCGAAUCUAAAAUUCUCAUCUAAAAAAGUCCCCUUAAAUCUUAUACUUAAAAUAUCCUAAAGUUUAUAAAUCAUUCUUAAAAUAUAUCAGAAACCCAUACAACAAAAAAUUCAGAAUUUCUAAACCCCAAAGUCUAAAUAGGAUAAUAUUUCUAACAUUAUUCUAAAAAUAUAUCUUAUAAGGCUACUUUAAUUACUUCCUAAAUUUAUUCUCAUAAACCUGGUUGAGCUGCUUUCUCAAAGAGUUUCUUUGUUUCUCAGUCAAGGUGCACUAGUUCUCAUAUCUUUAUAAUCGUUCUCAAUAGAAAGUAAGUUCUAAACAUCAGUGCACUUUCCGCCAAUAUUAACUAUGUUCAUCAUAAAUCCCUAUGUAAAGUAAAAAAGGGUUUAUAAAAAGAGAAUAUACCUUUAUAUGUUUUAACUUUCCUAAGUGUAUAAUAUAACUUUCCUCAAUCAAAAAUGAGACUACAUAUGGUGGGCUUUGAAAAACAAGCAUAAUAAUUAGGUUUUCUAAGAGCUUGGGUUCUAGUUGAUAUAAUCGAUGUGGUGCCUAAAAUUCUCGUGACUUUUCAGAGGAUGAUUGUUGUCCAAUAUCACAUUUGUCCUCAGUGUACUGAGAUAGAAGAACAGCCUUCUACUUUGUCCUUGAUAUGCUGAGGGGUAGUAGAACAGCCUCCAAGGCAUGAACUACCUGUUAUGUUCUAGCCAUCUGAAAUUUAAUUUGUUUAGCAUUUAACAUACUCAUGCCUCCUGUCAGAAACAUAAGCAUGAAAAUGAAAAGUCCCAAUUAUACAAAAAAGGGUCUCAUGCUUUCUGUUUCCCACCAACCAGUGCGGCUUUGCCAGCAUUCAUCCUCACUGUGACCCUGUCAAGACAGUGAGUGGGAGAUCGCCUUCACCAUGGCUCUGUGAUAGAUGACCACCAGACUAAAUCCCCAGUACUAUUGAUAGACAGACAGACAGACAGAUAGAUAGAUAGAUGACAGAUAGAUAGAUAUUCAAACAUGUGAGCACUUUCUUCUCUUUGAAAUGGACAAGAAAUAUUGAUUUACCACAUUCAAAGAAUUUUUCUUCAGAAAACUUACUACAUGUUAAUGAGUGAAACCUUAUUAACAGAAGACUUUGCCAGUUGUUUUCAUGAGUCUGAUUUCUCUGCACUAUGGGUUGCUUCAUGUAAGUGAAGCUGAGCAGAUGUAACAAAGGCUUUUCCACAUUGUUUACAACCAUAGAGCUUCUCUCCGAUAUGUGUUCUUCCAUGUGUUUGAAGUUCACUGGAACUAGCAAAGGCUUUGCCACACUGCUUACAUGCAUAAAGCUUCUCUCCAGUAUGAAUUUUUUUAUGUAAGUGAAGGUCAGAGGAACGAGUGAAGGCUUUGCCACACUGCUUACAUGCAUAAGGCUUCUCUGUAAUAUGAAAUGUUUUAUGUGCAUGAAGGCCAGAGAAAUAAGUGAAGGCUUUUCCACACUGCUUACACUCAUAGGGCUUCUCUCCAGUAUGCAUUCUUCCAUGAAUCUGAAGGGAAGUGGAUCUAGCAAAGGCUUUUCCACACUGCUUACAUUCAUAGGGCUUCUCCCCAGUAUGUGUUCUUCCAUGAAUCUGAAGGUAACUGGAUGUAGAAAAGGCUUUGCCACACUGCUCACAUUCAUAGGGCUUUUCUCCAGUAUGAGAUUUUUCAUGUUUGGGAAGGUAACUAGAACUAGCAAAGGCUUUUCCACAAUACUUACAUUCAUAGGGCUUCUCCCCAGUAUGUGUUCUUUCAUGUCUGUGAAGGGUAUUGGACCUAGCAAAGGCUUUGCCACACUGAUCACAUGCAUAAGGCUUCUCUCCAGUAUGAAUUUUUUUAUGUGAGUGAAGGCCAGAGAAAUGACUGAAGGCUUUGCCACACUGCUUACACUCAUAGGGCUUCUCUCCAGUAUGUGUUCUUCCAUGAAUCUGAAGGUCAGUGGAUCUAGCAAAGGGUUUGCCACACUGCUUACAUUCAUAGGGCUUUUCUCCAGUAUGAGUUAUUUCAUGUGAGUGAAGGUGACUGGAUGUAACAAAGGCUUUUCCACACUGCUUACACUUAUAGGGCUUCUCUCCAGUAUGAGUUCUUUCAUGUAUGCGAAGUUCACUGGAUCUAGCAAAGGCUUUCCCACACUGCUUACAUUCAUAGGGCUUCUCUCCAGUAUGGGUUCUCUGAUGUAUUCUAAGUAAACUGGGAUAAGCAAAGUCUUUCCCACAUACCUUACGUUUAAAAUGUGCAUUCCCCGUGUGUGUGAUCCUGUGCCUUUGAAGACUUGUGUGUGAAAUAAAGGUUUGACCACCUUGUUUACAGUGA